UUUAGGGUUAGAGUAAUGCCAUCUAUAAAGAUGGUAUGUACUUUGUCAUCAGAAUAAGCAAGAAAUCUUCCCACAUUGGGUAUGAAUGAUUCUUUCAAAAGCAAAGGCAGCAUAUUCUCAUUUAUCCCAGAUACCAUUUUCCAGCAGCAUAUACGAUAGUUAUGGCUUAAAGAGAGCCUCAUCUUGGCGCAGUGGUGAAGAAUCCUUUAUUUCUCGAAUUUGUAGCAAUGAAAUGACUCCAAAUAGAAUUUUCAGUUGCUCUUUUUUAUGAGGUGAUA